AAUCAACGCUGGCGGCGUGCCUCAGACAUGCAAGUCGAACGAGAACCUCCCUUCGGGGAGGGGACAGUGGCGCACGGGUGAGUAACACGUGGGUAAUUUACCUUUGGGUGGGGAACAACAGCCGGAAACGGCUGCUAAUACCGCAUAAUGCAGCGGCUCGACAUCGAGACAGUUGUUAAAGCGGGGGAUCGCAAGACCUCGCGCCUGAAGAGAAGCCUGCGGCGGAUUAGCAGUUGGUAGGGGUAAUGGCCUACCAAGGCGACGAUCUGUAACCGGCCUGAGGAGGGCGGUCGGUCACACUGACACUGACAUACGGGUCAGACUCCUACGGGAGGCAGCAGGUCGGGAAUUUUUGGGCGAAUGGGCGAAAGCCUGACCCAGCAACGCCGCGUGAAGGA
rnacentral:rRNA from 1 species